GAUGAACGCUGGCGGCGUGCUUAACACACGCAAGUCGAACGAAGCAUUUGCGACAGAUUUUUUCGGAAUGAAGUUGCUUAUGACUGAGUGGCGGACGGGUGAGUAACGCGUGGGUAACCUGCCUUGUACUGGGGGAUAGCAGCUGGAAACGGCUGGUAAUACCGCAUAAGCGCACAAUGUUGCAUGACAUGGUGUGAAAAACUCCGGUGGUAUAAGAUGGACCCGCGUCUGAUUAGCUAGUUGGUGAGAUAACAGCCCACCAAGGCGACGAUCAGUAGCCGACCUGAGAGGGUGACCGGCCACAUUGGGACUGAGACACGGCCCAGACUCCUACGGGAGGCAGCAGUGGGGAAUAUUGCACAAUGGAGGAAACUCUGAUGCAGCGACGCCGCGUGAGUGAAGAAGUAAUUCGUUAUGUAAAGCUCUAUCAGCAGGGAAGAUAGUGACGGUACCUGACGAAGAAGCUCCGGCUAAAUACGUG
rnacentral:rRNA from 1 species